rnacentral:rRNA from 1 species
AAUCAACGCUGGCGGCGUGCCUAACACAUGCAAGUCGAGCGAGAAAGUGUAGCAAUACAUGAGUACAGCGGCGCACGGGUGAGUAACACGUGGGUAAUCUGCCCUAGAGUGGGGAAUAACACCGGGAAACCGGUGCUAAUACCGCAUACGAUCACGAUGUCUGCGGAUGUUGUGAUGAAAGGAGCAAUUCGCUCUUGGAGGAGCCCGCGGCUGAUUAGCUAGUUGGUAAGGUAACGGCUUACCAAGGCAACGAUCAGUAGCCGGUCUGAGAGGACGGUCGGCCACACUGGAACUGAGACACGGUCCAGACUCCUACGGGAGGCAGCAGUGGGGAAUUUUUCGCAAUGGGGGCAACCCUGACGAAGCAACGCCGCGUGGGUGAUGAAGUCUCUUGGGACGUAAAACCCUUUCGACGGGGAAGAAACCGCAAGGUUGACGGUACCCGUAGAAGAAGCCCCGGCUAACUCCGUGCCAGCCGCCGCCGUAAAAC